AUACGUAGGGGGCAAGCGUUAUCCGGAUUUACUGGGGGUAAAGGGAGCGUAGACGGCAUGGCAAGUCUGAAGUGAAAGCCCGAGGCUCAACCACGGGACUGCUUUGGAAACUGUUAAGCUAGAGUGCAGGAGAGGUAAGGGGAAUUCCUAGUGUAGCGGGGAAAUGCGUAGAUAUUAGGAGGAACACCGGUGGCGAAGGCGGCUUACUGGACUGUAACUGACGUUGAGGCUCGCAAGCGUGGGGAGCAAACAGGAUUAGAUACCCUGGUAGUCCACGCUGUAAACGAUGAUUACUAGGUGUUGGGGACCUAUAGGUCUUCGGUGCCGCAGCAAACGCAAUAAGUAAUCCACCUGGGGAGUACGUUCGCAAGAAUGAAACUCAAAUGAAUUGACGGGG
rnacentral:rRNA from 1 species